UCACGAGUAGUGUGUCCGGAUGAGGUCUUCAUCGACCGUGAUUUAAUUUCAUAAGGUCGGUGGGACUUUCGUCCGUUUGCAAGACUCGAGGA
rnacentral:pre_miRNA from 1 species